AGUCGAGGGGCAGCACAGGUAGCAAUACCGGGUGGCGACCGGCGCACGGGUGAGUAACGCGUAUGCAACUUGCCUAUCAGAGGGGGAUAACCCGGCGAAAGUCGGACUAAUACCGCAUGAAGCAGGGAUCCCGCAUGGGAAUAUUUGCUAAAGAUUCAUCGCUGAUAGAUAGGCAUGCGUUCCAUUAGGCAGUUGGCGGGGUAACGGCCCACCAAACCGACGAUGGAUAGGGGUUCUGAGAGGAAGGUCCCCCACAUUGGUACUGAGACACGGACCAAACUCCUACGGGAGGCAGCAGUGAGGAAUAUUGGUCAAUGGCCGAGAGGCUGAACCAGCCAAGUCGCGUGAGGGAUGAAGGUUCUAUGGAUCGUAAACCUCUUUUAUAAGGGAAUAAAGUGCGGGACGUGUCCCGUUUUGUAUGUACCUUAUGAAUAAGGAUCGGCUAACUCCGUGCCAGCAGCCGCGGUAAUACGGAGGAUCCGAGCGUUAUCCGGAUUUAUUGGGUUUAAAGGGUGCGUAGGCGGCCUUUUAAGUCAGCGGUGAAAGUCUGUGGCUCAACCAUAGAAUUGCCGUUGAAACUGGGGGGCUUGAGUAUGUUUGAGGCAGGCGGAAUGCGUGGUGUAGCGGUGAAAUGCAUAGAUAUCACGCAGAACCCCGAUUGCGAAGGCAGCCUGCCAAGCCAUUACUGACGCUGAUGCACGAAAGCGUGNGGAUCAAACAGGAUUAGAUANCCUGGUAGUCCACGCAGUAAACGAUGAUCACUAGCUG
rnacentral:rRNA from 1 species